GCCGGGGUGAUGGAAUUGGUAGACAUAGCGGACUUAAAAUCCGCUGCUCUUUUAGAGCGUGCCGGUUCGAGUCCGGCCCUCGGCAC
rnacentral:tRNA from 1 species